AUGCAAGUCGAACGAUGAACUUCCUUCGGGAGGGGAUUAGUGGCGAACGGGUGAGUAACACGUGGGCAAUCUGCCCUUCACUCUGGGACAAGCCCUGGAAACGGGGUCUAAUACCGGAUACGACUACCGACCGCAUGGUCUGGUGGUGGAAAGCUCCGGCGGUGAAGGAUGAGCCCGCGGCCUAUCAGCUUGUUGGUGGGGUGAUGGCCUACCAAGGCGACGACGGGUAGCCGGCCUGAGAGGGCGACCGGCCACACUGGGACUGAGACACGGCCCAGACUCCUACGGGAGGCAGCAGUGGGGAAUAUUGCACAAUGGGCGAAAGCCUGAUGCAGCGACGCCGCGUGAGGGAUGACGGCCUUCGGGUUGUAAACCUCUUUCAGCAGGGAAGAAGCGAGAGUGACGGUACCUGCAGAAGAAGCGCCGGCUAACUACGUGCCAGCAGCCGCGGUAAUACGUAGGGCGCAAGCGUUGUCCGGAAUUAUUGGGCGUAAAGAGCUCGUAGGCGGCUUGUCACGUCGGAUGUGAAAGCCCGGGGCUUAACCCCGGGUCUGCAUUCGAUACGGGCAGGCUAGAGUUCGGUAGGGGAGAUCGGAAUUCCUGGUGUAGCGGUGAAAUGCGCAGAUAUCAGGAGGAACACCGGUGGCGAAGGCGGAUCUCUGGGCCGAUACUGACGCUGAGGAGCGAAAGCGUGGGGAGCGAACAGGAUUAGAUACCC
rnacentral:rRNA from 1 species